UACGGAGGGUGCAAGCGUUAUCCGGAUUCACUGGGUUUAAAGGGUGCGUAGGUGGGUUGGUAAGUCAGUGGUGAAAUCUCCGAGCUUAACUUGGAAACUGCCAUUGAUACUAUUAGUCUUGAAUAUUGUGGAGGUCAGCGGAAUAUGUCAUGUAGCGGUGAAAUGCUUAGAGAUGACAUAGAACACCAAUUGCGAAGGCAGCUGGCUACACAUAUAUUGACACUGAGGCACGAAAGCGUGGGGAUCAAACAGGAUUAGAACCGUACCGU
rnacentral:rRNA from 1 species